AAGUUUAGGUUAAACAGACCAAGAGCCUUCAAAGCC
rnacentral:tRNA from 1 species